AUGAUAACCAUGAAAUCUUAGCAUUGACCUUUGUACCAUUAACAUGACAUCAAUCAAGGUCGGAUGGACGUGUAAAUGCCGGAAAGACUUGUACAUCUUGCAACCCAAACUCCGAACAGUGGUUGCGUUGCUUCGCUAAACUAUACAGUGUUAAAGUCAACUUAGCGUAGUAAAGAGGACGUAACCGCUGUUUCGGAGUUUGCUUGCAACCAUUACACCGAUAACCAUGAAAACAUAAAAUUGACUAAUAAAUCCGGAAAAUUGGUCAUUGAGUUCAAGCAAGAUGAUCCCUGCUAUGCAGAUAUGUGCACCUCCCAUUUAUUCCAUACACAAACUUUUAUUGACCUAUUGGUACUUGCAUCAGAUAACGGUCCAAACCGCAGUAAUUUAGCAUUUGCUAACGAAUCAUGAAAACAUCAGAUAACGGUCAAAACCGCAGUAAUUUAGCAUUUGACAAUGAAUCAUAAAAAUGAGGCGAAGGAUGGAUAAAACAAUCAAGACAUAUGAUAUAUACGACUUACAAUCGUCCAAUACAACACAUAUUAUAUACCUAUCAUUUAUUGUAUCUGGGAAAUAUAUCAGACAUUAAAAACUUUAAUUGCCAAUAAGCCAUGACAAUAAAGCCAUGGUCACACAAAACAAUUG
rnacentral:lncRNA from 1 species